GUGGAGCAUGUGGCUUAAUUUGACUCAACGCGGGGAAUCUUACUAGGUCCGGACCGAGUCUAUGAACGUCGUACCGUUGGGUGCUACGUGAUUACUGGAUGAGUGGUGCAUGGCCGUUCUUAGUUCGUGGUGUUAAUUGUCUACUUAAUUGUUAUCGUUCCCGUAUCUCACGGUACGGAGCGCAUAACGAACGAGAUCGAGACCCGUCGAUACGGGGAUCGCGUAAUUACUCUCACGGUACGAUCGAAAGACUCGGCAAUAACAGGUCUGUGAUGCCCUCAGAUGUUCUAGGCUGCACACGUGCUACAUUGUGGUUUCGUUUGUAUGCGUAGAUAUAUCUAAGAUCCCCCGCAUCGAGUCUCAAUUACUCACGUGGUUGGACUCACCGAUUGUUGUAAUUAUUCGGUAUACUAA
rnacentral:rRNA from 1 species